GUAGUCUCGCACAGAUGCAUAUCAAUAAGCGGAGGAAAAGAAACUAACAAGGAUUCCCUUAGUAACGGCGAGUGAAGCGGGAAGAGCUCAAAUUUGAAAUCUUCAAGGUUUUACCUUGACGAAUUGUAGUUUAAAGAAGUGUUUUCUGUUGAAGUUUUGGUAAAAGUUCUUUGGAAUAGGACAUCAUAGAGGGUGAGAAUCCCGUAUUUGACCAUUAUUUUCAGCUGUGUGAUACACUUUCAAAGAGUCGGAUUGUUUGGGAAUGCAGUCCAAAAUGGGUGGUAAAUUUCAUCUAAAGCUAAAUAUUGGCGAGAGACCGAUAGCGAACAAGUACCGUGAGGGAAAGAUGAAAAGAACUUUGAAAAGAGAGUUAAACAGUACGUGAAAUUGUCAAAAGGGAAGCGUUUGACACCAGUGUUGUUUUCUCGAAAAUCAAUUAAAAAGAGUUUGAUUUUGUUGUGUAUUGACCUUAACAGCUUGCAUUUCAAUUUUCUUGCUUUUUUUAAUGCACCUUUCGUUUAACAAGUCAACAUCAGUUUCUUUUGUUGUAAAAAGGUCAUUGGAAGGUGGCUUUCUUUUCGGAGAAAGUGUUUAUAGCCUUUGACUCCUGCAAUCGGAGAGACUGAGGUCUGCAGCGUAGAUCCUUCGGGGUUAGAUACAUUUGUGCUAAGUUAUAGGCUUUUUAUAGACAACUUGUUGACUAUGAUUAGUCUUGUAGCUUACUCGCUUAUGCUAUUUUACCUACGCUUAGGAUGUUGAGCGCAUGUCUCUCUCU
rnacentral:rRNA from 1 species